rnacentral:sRNA from 1 species
UACAAAAUGAAUCGGCUUCUUAAGGGUGGUCUGGCUCAUCCCCAACAGAAAGGGGGUGAUGCAAAAUGACAACUUUCGAAACAAUCUAUUUAAUGAUUGCUUUUGGCAUGUUAGUUGCCACGUUGUCAAAGAAAGAAAAAUAGACCUCCCUUGAGCCUCGGAACUUUGGGGAAGGUCUAUCAUCACUUGAAUCCUUAAAGCCAGCCCACUUGGGCCUUCAAUUUGUACCGACCCGGUGGCAGCCGG